UUGACCUCGGAUCAGGUAGGGAUACCCGCUGAACUUAAGCAUAUCAAUAAGCGGAGGAAAAGAAACCAACAGGGAUUGCCUUCAGUAACGGCGA
rnacentral:rRNA from 1 species